rnacentral:sRNA from 1 species
GUCAGGCCCAGUGGUGCACACCUGUAGUUCCAGCUACUCGGAAGACUGAGGCAGGAGAAUCCCUUGAGCCCAGGAGUUCAGGGUCAACCUGGGCAACAGAAAGACCCUGUCUCCA